rnacentral:rRNA from 1 species
AACGAACGUUGGCGGCGUGGAUUAGGCAUGCAAGUCGAGGGAAUCUCCCGCAAGGGAGGGAACCGGCGUAAGGGGCAGUAAGGCAUGGGUACCUACCCCGGGGUUCGGGAUAGCCAUCAGAGAUGGUGGGUAAUACCGGAUGACCUCGUGAGAGCAAAGAUUCAUCGCCCUGGGAGGGGCCCAUGUGAUAUUAGCUAGUUGGUGAGGUAACGGCUCACCAAGGCAAAGAUGUCUAGCGGGUAUGAGAGUACGACCCGCGCCACUCGCACUGAGACACUGGCGAGACACCUACGGGUGGCUGCAGUCGAGGAUCUUCGGCAAUGGGCGAAAGCCUGACCGAGCGACGCCGCGUGCGCGAUGAAGGCCUUCGGGUUGUAAAGCGCUUUAGUGGGGGAGAAAAGCCCGCAAGGGUGUGAUCUAUCCCAAAAAUAAGCUCGGGCUAAGUUCGUGCCAGCCGCCGCAGUAACAC